rnacentral:piRNA from 1 species
UGGUAAUGAGCCGGAGAUAGUCUGGAGUGU